rnacentral:lncRNA from 1 species
AAAUAAAGUGUCACGUCAAAGUCAAACAGUGAACCUGGAGGCUGAGCUUAAAGAGUGAUGUGGGUGAACUCACAGCUGGGGGUGUUUACAUUCAUAGCUCUGUAAGUGCAUUUCUCGGGCUUCCUUCACCUUCAGCUGUUGCAAUGCUCAAGGAGGUUUGGCCUCACGAGGCUUGUCUUCUGCCAGCAAAAAUAAGAGGUGGACUGCGCAGUGAUGACGACUGUCUGACGAUCAGAAUCCCUCUUUAUCAUCCCACCCCCUCCUCUUUGUCCCUAUUCUCUCACCCUAUUCUUCGCCAUUCUCCGCUGUCCUUCCCACCCCCCCCUCUGUACCUCCCCUUCAGAAAAGACUGGGCUGGGGACUGAAGAUCUGUGACAGAGCCUCUCAUUUGUAAUCAGAUGAAAGCAGAGAUAAUCCCGCGCCUGACUCCAUCUUGUUCCCUGCUGUAGCGGGAGGUGGAGACGGGGGGGCGGGGACAGGGAGGGGGGGGUCACCUGUGGAUGUGAAGGAGGAGGGUGGCUUUCUUUUCCCUUCCGAGCCCCUGGACUGACAUGGGUGGUCUGGAGAGCUCUGAGGAUCCAUGAACUCUGAACCUGAAAGGCAGAGCAAGAGAGAGAGAGAGGGAAAGAGAAGGAGAGAGGGAGGUAGCUAUCAAGAGGAGCUCCAGGCCCAGUCUGUACUGACACUACAAGGUAAGCAGGGCUACUACCUACACUGAUCUUAUUCUUUCCUGAAUAAUUCCAGUACUGGCUGGUAAGGGUUUUGCCCUGAGACUGGCUCAGGUGUGGAGAGGUGAGGAGCAGGGUGUGGGUGGCAGGAACUGAGGCCACAGUUGGGCGCUUUUACCUCUACGGAGAGAAAACUGAGUGCUGACCCAGCAACACCCUAUUGUAAGGCCGGCGACAACCAGCUUCCUCGUGGUCUCCUAAAGAUCUCCGACGGCACAUGCGGACAGCGGUCCUCUGCUCGGCGUCCUCCCUGUCCCGUCACACGGCCGUGAUUUUUGGCACUUCCGUAAGAGGUCACACUUUAACUUGGACAAAGUCAGCUGACGGACACUCUUGUGCAGACGAAAUAUCUUUUGUAUAGAAUUGAUAUUUUCUGGCAAAUCUGUUUGUUGCAAAGAUCACUGAAGAUAUACCAGCGGAGGAUGAUGAUUGAAGCAAUAUAAAAUGUACUGAAAUAAAUGCACUUUUUAAAAUGAUGGUUAACUGCA